rnacentral:lncRNA from 1 species
AAAACAUACUAGUCGAUUUAGAAAGUUUACCCUGGACAAGAAAAAAAUGCCUUCAUUAAGAAAUGGGGGUGGCCAAGUAAGAGGCCUAAGGAGGAAGUAGGUAUGUUUAUCAGUUUAGGAUGUGUCUUUUUUCAGGGCUUAAGUCAUCUUAAAUAAAAGCUAAAAUAAUGUAGUGUACUGUAAUUUAGAUAUCAAGGCUGC